rnacentral:lncRNA from 1 species
CCGCCUGUCAACGAUCAUCUGGGCCCAAAUUUCGUCGCCUCUUUUACCAAAUCUCUAGUCAUAGGCUCAACCGUCGCCACUCCCUCUUUUUCUCCAACAUUCCCCUUAGUAUCGGUCGAGAAGGAACAAAAAUACUUAACACGGUCAUAUCUCCCGCAUGAAAAGCAAACGAUCGGUAAGGACUCGUACUCUACUCACUGUGUUUUUCCAUUAACCAAAAUCUAAGAAAUUAAAGGCUUGUUCAGAUUGACGAAAAUUGCCAUUCGAGCAAAUUUUCUCCUCAACCCCUUGUCGGUGUUAAAAUCAAUCUUUACUACCCUCCCUAUCAGUCCACCAAUCUUCUCAAGAAUCUUCUUAUUGUACAGAUAUCCGAGGAGAACUAAUAGCCGAAUCCAGGUCAUAACUAACAUCAAGAAUGGUUGGAGGGGAUUGAAUUCUAAUGACCACGGUUGAACAAUGAGAUAUUGACCAAAGACGAUCCAAGGACCUUGCAUAAGCACUUUCUCAUAAUCCUCUUUACUCUAAAUUUUUAUGAAAAAUAGCCAUUUUCCACAUUCAUAAUUUGAAAAGGCUUAGAAGGCCACCACAAACUUGAAGCACGAUUCUAGAGUGUAACGAAUCCAAUGCUUUGCCCUAGAAGUUUAACCA